AGUGAACGCUGGCGGUAGGCCUAACACAUGCAAGUCGAACGGCAGCACAGUAAGAGCUUGCUCUUACGGGUGGCGAGUGGCGGACGGGUGAGGAAUACAUCGGAAUCUACUUUUUCUUGGGGGAUAACGUAGGGAAACUUACGCUAAUACCGCAUACGACCUACCGGUUAAAGCAGGGGAUCUUCGGACCUUUCGCGAUUCAAUGAGCCGAUGUCGGAUUAGCUAGUGGGCGAGGUAAAGGCCCACCAAGGCAACGAUCCGUAGCUGAACUGAGAGGAUGAUCGGAGACACUGGAACUGAGACAAGGGCCAGACUCAUACGGGAGGCAGCAGUAGGGAAUCUUCGGCAAUGGGCGAAAGCAUGACGGAGCAACGCCGCGUGAGUGAAGAAGGUCUUCGGAUCGUAAAACUCUGUUAUUAGGGAAGAACAAAUGUGUAAGAAACUAUGCACGUCUUGACGGUACCUAAUCAGAAAGCCACGGCUAACUACGUG
rnacentral:rRNA from 1 species